rnacentral:rRNA from 1 species
AUUGAACGCUGGCGGCAGGCCUAACACAUGCAAGUCGAACGAGUGGCGGACGGGUGAGUAAUGUCUGGGAAACUGCCUGAUGGAGGGGGAUAACUACUGGAAACGGUAGCUAAUACCGCAUAACAUCAGCUGUGCCCAGAUGGGAUUAGCUUGUUGGUGGGGUAAAGGCUCACCAAGUCGACGAUCCCUAGCUGGUCUGAGAGGAUGACCGGCCACACUGGAACUGAGACACGUUCCAGCCUCCUACGGGAGGCAGCAGUGGGGAAUAUGGGGCAAUGGGCGAAAGCCUGAGCCAGCCAUGCCGCGUGUGUGAAGAAGGUCUUCGGAUUGUAAAGCACUUUAAGUUGGGAGGCGUUACCAACAGAAUAAGCACCGGCUAACUUCGUGCCAGCAGCCGCGGUAAUAC